rnacentral:rRNA from 1 species
AACCUGCCCAAGAGACUGGGAUAACACCUGGAAACAGAUGCUAAUACCGGAUAACAACACUAGACGCAUGUCUAGAGUUUAAAAGAUGGUUCUGCUAUCACUCUUGGAUGGACCUGCGGUGCAUUAGCUAGUUGGUAAGGUAACGGCUUACCAAGGCAAUGAUGCAUAGCCGAGUUGAGAGACUGAUCGGCCACAUUGGGACUGAGACACGGUCCAAACUCCUACGGGAGGCAGCAGGU